GUGUGUGUGUGUGUGUGUGUGUGUGUGUGUGUGUGUGUGUGUGUGUGUGUGUGUUGGUCCCCUUGAGCGACAAGUAGAAGUGGCCUUGCUCGCCUCCAGAGCCAGGUCCUUGGUCCCCCGGAGUUCCAGACUGCCCCGCUGGAGUUAGCGUCUGCAUUUUGUCCUAAACCUGCAAGUAUUCACGACUUUGUUCACCAUGUUAAGUCAUCCCUCGCCAUGACUAUGGAAGAAGUAAAGUCACCUCGCCUGGCGAUGGCUCAAGUCUAUCUACUGUCUGGAGAAUGGAAUCAGGGACAUUUUUGAAGGUCUGUGGUUGGAAGGAUCUGGGAUCCUGCCGUGAAGGUCAAGAUGACCAGCAAAUGAGAGGUGAAGUAAGAUGCUGGAAACCUGAUCUAUGCUUCAGGUUUUUGGACGAAGUCUAACUGGCAGCCCUGGAGCAUCAGGAGUUCAAGGAUAGACUGUGUUCACACAGGAGAUAGUAUCACAAAACACACAUACAAACAAAAGACCAAGGCUGGGGAUAUGGCCCAGCAAUCAGGAGCACACGUUCUUGCCAAGAACUUGAGUUUGGUCCCCAGAACCCACACGGGUGGCUGGAAACCAUCUGUAAUUACAAUUCUAGGGCACCCAACACCCUCUUCUAAUUUCCAGGGGAACAUAUGUACAAGCGAAACACUUAUGCACAUGAAAUAAAUCUUUAAAAAACUAU
rnacentral:lncRNA from 1 species